UACGUAGGGUGCAAGCGUUGUCCGGAAUCAUUGGGCGUAAAGCGCGCGUAGGUGGCUUCGUAAGUCCGUUGUGAAAGUCAAAGGCUCAACCUUUGAAAGCCGAUGGAUACUGCGGAGCUAGAGUACGGAAGAGGCGAGUGGAAUUCCUGGUGUAGCGGUGGAAUGCGCAGAUAUCAGGAGGAACACCAAUAGCGAAGGCAGGUCUCUGGGCAUUAACUGACGCUGAGGAGCGAAAGCAUGGGGAGCGAACAGG
rnacentral:rRNA from 1 species